rnacentral:tRNA from 1 species
CCCCGGAUGGCGAAAAUUGGUAGACGCAAGAGACUUAAAAAUCUCUCGGAGGUAACUCCGUGCCGGUUCAAGUCCGGCUCCGGGCA